GGAAGAGCACAGCUAUUGGUGAGGUGGCUUCGGUUGCUAACUGAACGGAUAUUUCCUAUCCUUGUAGGUUCGAAUCCUAUCUCUUCCG
rfam:Cryptococcus gattii R265 mitochondrial scaffold supercont2.28, whole genome shotgun sequence.